rnacentral:rRNA from 1 species
AGCCUGAUGCAGCCAUGCCGCGUGUGUGAAGAAGGCCUUCGGGUUGUAAAGCACUUUCAGUCGUGAGGAAGGUGGUAGUGUUAAUAGCACUAUCAUUUGACGUUAGCGACAGAAGAAGCACCGGCUAACUCCGUGCCAGCAGCCGCGGUAAUACGGAGGGUGCGAGCGUUAAUCGGAAUUACUGGGCGUAAAGCGCAUGCAGGUGGUUUGUUAAGUCAGAUGUGAAAGCCCGGGGCUCAACCUCGGAAUAGCAUUUGAAACUGGCAGACUAGAGUACUGUAGAGGGGGGUAGAAUUUCAGGUGUAGCGGUGAAAUGCGUAGAGAUCUGAAGGAAUACCGGUGGCGAAGGCGGCCCCCUGGACAGAUACUGACACUCAGAUGCGAAAGCGUGGGGAGCAAACAGGAUUAGAUACCCUGGUAGUCCACGCCGUAAACGAUGUCUACUUGGAGGUUGUGGCCUUGAGCCGUGGCUUUCGGAGCUAACGCGUUAAGUAGACCGCCUGGGGAGUACGGUCGCAAGAUUAAAACUCAAAUGAAUUGACGGGGGCCCGCACAAGCGGUGGAGCAUGUGGUUUAAUUCGAUGCAACGCGAAGAACCUUACCUACUCUUGACAUCCAGAGA